GACGAACGCUGGCGGCGUGCUUAAUACAUGCAAGUCAACUGAACUUGAGAUAGCAAUAUUUUAAGGGAGGUGGCGCACGGGUGAGUAACACGUAGGUAAUCUGCCUUUAGGUCUGACACAACCCCGAGAAAUCGGGGCUAAUAUCAGAUGAUGCAGCGGCUCGACAUCGAGACAGUUGUUAAACCUUCGGGGCCUAGAGAUGAGCCUGCGUCUGAUUAGGUAGUUGGCGGAGUAAUAGCCCACCAAGGCGACGAUGGGUAGGGGUCCUGAGAGGGAGAUCCCCCACACUGGUACUGAGACACGGACCAGACUCCUACGGGAGGCAGCAGUAAGGAAUAUUGGUCAAUGGACGAAAGUCUGAACCAGCCAUGCCGCGUGAAGGAUGAAGGCCCUCUGGGUUGUAAACUUCUUUUAUAGGGGACGAAAAAAGGGAAUUCUUUCCCACUUGACGGUACCCUAGGAAUAAGCACCGGCUAACUCCGUG
rnacentral:rRNA from 1 species